rnacentral:rRNA from 1 species
AAGAAAUAUAUUUCUGAAAAAAAUAAGGACCUGUUAAGUGAUUGUAACUCAGAAUAGUAUAAACAUAAUUCUUACACAAUUAAAAAACUAUUAAAGUAGUUUGUUUCUUUUAGUAUAAUGAAUUUGAAACCGAAUUUAAAAGAUUGAUAAAUAUUAUUAAAAAAAUAAUUGCGGAAAUUGAACAAAAAAUGUAAAUCGAUUUUAAAAAACUGAGUUAUUAUCGAAUAAUCAAUAUUAAGAAUUAAAUAUGGUGCAAAAUGGUACCUAACUAAACGAGAAAAAAUAUUAAGAAUCUAAAAAUAUUUAUUGAAUAAUUACUUCUUAACAUUAAAAAAAAAAUAAUUAGAUAAGUAAUAAUUUAAAUUUUUUACAAAAUAAGAAAUAUUAUUAAGAAAUUUACAAAAGUUUACAAAAACCUUUCCUAAAUAUAUAGGUAAUCCCUGCUAAAUAACCAAAUAAUCAGAUUAGUAGCAUAAUUAAUUGCCACUUAAUUGGUGGACUGUUUGAACGGGAUUUUUUUUUUGAGAGGCCUAAUUUAUUACUUAUAAUUAAAGAUAUUAGUCAGUGAAAAUACUUCUAAAUAUAAGGAAGAAGAUAAGACCCUAAAAGUUUUUUUUUAUAGUUGGGGCAACUAAAUUUUAUUCACAUUAUAAAACAUAAAGUUAAUAGUUACUUUAGGGAUAACAGCGUAAUACUAAAUAUUAUGUUCAAAACAAUAUUUAGGAGUAUGACCUCGAUGUUGAACUAAGAGAAUCUUUUAGUAAAAAGAAAAAAUUUGAGUCUGUUCGACUAAACUCUCUUACGUGAUUUGAGUUCAAACCGGCAAAAGCCAGGUUGGUUUCAACCUCCUUAAAAAAAAGAGUUGGGAUAGUACGAAAGGACCAAUCAACAAUUACUAAUAAAGUUAUUAUUAAUGUUUCUUUGUCGAGGAAAAGAACUUCUAAUUCUGCAAAUAAAGUUUUUUAAAAAAUAUUUUUCUUGUAAAAAAAAGUAA